rnacentral:piRNA from 1 species
UGAUUGUUUAAAUACAGAUCUUUCUAGCCUG